rnacentral:rRNA from 1 species
CGGCGCCGGGAGCAAUCCUGGUGGCGAGUGGCGAACGGGUGAGUAAUAUAUCGGAACGUGCCCAGUCGUGGGGGAUAACGCAGCGAAAGCUGUGCUAAUACCGCAUACGAUCUAUGGAUGAAAGCGGGGGACUCGCAAGAGCCUCGCGCGAUUGGAGCGGCCGAUAUCAGAUUAGCUUGUUGGUGGGGUAAAAGCCCACCAAGGCGACGAUCUGUAGCUGGUCUGAGAGGACGACCAGCCACACUGGAACUGAGACACGGUCCAGACUCCUACGGGAGGCAGCAGUGGGGAAUUUUGGACAAUGGGCGCAAGCCUGAUCCAGCAAUGCCGCGUGCAGGAUGAAGGCCUUCGGGUUGUAAACUGCUUUUGUACGGAACGAAACGGUCUACUUUAAUACAGUGGGCUAAUGACGGUACCGUAAGAAUAAGCACCGGCUAACUACGUGCCAGCAGCCGCGGUAAUACGUAGGGUGCGAGCGUUAAUCGGAAUUACUGGGCGUAAAGCGUGCGCAGGCGGUUAUAUAAGACAGAUGUGAAAUCCCCGGGCUCAACCUGGGACCUGCAUUUGUGACUGUAUAGCUAGAGUACGGUAGAGGGGGAUGGAAUUCCGCGUGUAGCAGUGAAAUGCGUAGAUAUGCGGAGGAACACCGAUGGCGAAGGCAAUCCCCUGGACCUGUACUGACGCUCAUGCACGAAAGCGUGGGGAGCAAACAGGAUUAGAUACCCUGGUAGUCCACGCCCUAAACGAUGUUCACUGGUUGUUGGGUCUUCACUGACUCAGUAACGGAGCUAACGCGUGAAGUGACCGCCUGGGGAGU